GGGCUUGUAGCUCAGUUGGUUAGAGCGCUACAUUGACAUUGUAGAGGUCAGAGGUUCGAGUCCUCUCAGGCCCA
rnacentral:tRNA from 1 species